AGGGGAAUAUUGGACAAUGGGCGCAAGCCUGAUCCAGCCAUGCCGCGUGGGUGAUGAAGGCCCUAGGGUUGGAAAGCUCUUUCACCGGUGAAGAUAAUGACGGUAACCGGAGAAGAAGCCCCGGCUAACUUCGUGCCAGCAGCCGCGGUAAUACGAAGGGGGCUAGCGUUGUUCGGAUUUACUGGGCGUAAAGCGCACGUAGGCGGACUUUUAAGUCAGGUGUGAAAUACCGGGGCUCAACCCCGGAACUGCCUUUGAUACUGGAAGUCUGGAGUAUGGUAGAGGUGAGUGGAAUUCCGGGUGUAGAGGUGAAAUUCGUAGAUAUUCGGAGGAACACCAGUGGCGAAGGAGGCUCACUGGACCAUUACUGACGCUGAGGUGCGAAAGCGUGGGGAGCAAACAGG
rnacentral:rRNA from 1 species